GGUAAGAUGGCCGAGCAAGGCAGCGGGUUGUAGCCCCGACUACAGAGGUCAAAGUCCUCUUCUUAUCA
rnacentral:tRNA from 1 species